GAUGAACGCUGGCGGCGUGCCUAAUACAUGCAAGUCGAGCGAACAGAUGAGGAGCUUGCUCCUCUGACGUUAGCGGCGGACGGGUGAGUAACACGUGGAUAACCUACCUAUAAGACUGGGAUAACUUCGGGAAACCGGAGCUAAUACCGGAUAAUAUAUUGAACCGCAUGGUUCAAUAGUGAAAGACGGUUUUGCUGUCACUUAUAGAUGGAUCCGCGCCGCAUUAGCUAGUUGGUAAGGUAACGGCUUACCAAGGCAACGAUGCGUAGCCGACCUGAGAGGGUGAUCGGCCACACUGGAACUGAGACACGGUCCAGACUCCUACGGGAGGCAGCAGUAGGGAAUCUUCCGCAAUGGGCGAAAGCCUGACGGAGCAACGCCGCGUGAGUGAUGAAGGUCUUCGGAUCGUAAAACUCUGUUAUUAGGGAAGUACAAAUGUGUAAGUAACUAUGCACGUCUUGACGGUACCUAAUCAGAAAGCCACGGCUAACUACGUG
rnacentral:rRNA from 1 species